CUUGACAUUGGAGAUAUGCACAUGAAUUUUUUUUUUUGACCUUUGACCAUGAAGGAUGACCUUGACCUUUCACCACUAAAAAUGUGCAGCUUCAUAAGAUACACAUGCAUGGCAAAUAUCAAGUUGCUAUCUUCAAUAUUGCAAAAGUUAUGAGCAACGUUAAAGUUUUCGGACGGACACACGGACGGACGGACGGACGGUCAAAAUUUGUGUGCGUAUGGAAAGGCGUUGUCCAUAUACACAUGCAUACCAAAUAUGAAGGUUAUAUCUCAAGGGACAUUUAUGGCCAUUUUUGACCUUUGAACUCAAAGUGUGACCUUGACCUUGGAGAUAUCGACGUAAUUAUUUCG